GACGAACGCUGGCGGCGUGCUUAACACAUGCAAGUCGAACGGAAAGGCCCUGCUUUUGUGGGGUGCUCGAGUGGCGAACGGGUGAGUAACACGUGAGUAACCUGCCCUCGACUUUGGGAUAACUUCAGGAAACUGGGGCUAAUACCGGAUAGGAGCUCCUGCUGCAUGGUGGGGGUUGGAAAGUUUCGGCGGUUGGGGAUGGACUCGCGGCUUAUCAGCUUGUUGGUGGGGUAGUGGCUUACCAAGGCUUUGACGGCUUGCCGGCCUGAGUGGGGGACCGGACACAUUGGGACUGAGAUACGGCCCAGACUCCUACGGGAGGCAGCGGUGGGGAAUAUUGCACUAUGGUCGGAAGCCUGAUGCAGCAGCGCCGCGUGCGGGAUGACGGCCUUCGGGUUGUAAACCGCUUUCGCCUGUGACGAAGCGUGAGUGACGGUAAUUGGUAAAGAAGCACCGGCUAACUACGUG
rnacentral:rRNA from 1 species